GAUGAACGCUGGCGGCGUGCUUAACACAUGCAAGUCGAACGGUGAAAGAGAGCUUGCUCUCUGGAUCAGUGGCGAACGGGUGAGUAACACGUGAGCAAUCUGCCCCUGACUCUGGGAUAAGCGCUGGAAACGGCGUCCAAUACCGGAUACGAGCUGCGAAGGCAUCUUCGGCAGCUGGAAAGAACUUCGGUCAGGGAUGAGCUCGCGGCCUAUCAGCUAGUUGGUGAGGUAAUGGCUCACCAAAGCGUCGACGGGUAGCCGGCCUGAGAGGGUGACUGGCCACACUGGGACUGAGACACGGCCCAGACUCCUACGGGAGGCAGCAGUGGGGAAUAUUGCACAAUGGGCGCAAGCCUGAUGCAGCAACGCCGCGUGAGGGACGACGGCCUUCGGGUUGUAAACCUCUUUUAGCAGGGAAGAAGCGAAAGUGACGGUACCUGCAGAAAAAGCACCGGCUAACUACGUGCCAGCCGCCGCCGUAACAC
rnacentral:rRNA from 1 species